GAGGCAGACCCGCUAACCUGGACCUUGGCUCCUCGGCAGGUGUGGCUCUCCUGGAGGGGCAGAGGAGGAAAAGACAGCAAUCAGAGAGGGAAUGAGGUCCUACAGGAUCCUUCUCUGCUCGUCCGGCCCCUACACACAGGCCGUAGAGCCAUCACCCCCACCUCCAUCAUCACAUCAGUGGCCUGGGGCCUUUCUUGACGGCAUCCGGGGUCUCGAGCAAGGGGAGGGGCUGGAGUCCUGCCCUCUGCAUGCAGCGCCUCCCUGUAGCAGCUUGUGUUCUCUUCACAGUCACCUAGGAGGUGAAGAAUUCAGCUGCUUCCAGUUCCGGCUGCCCCAGUGUGACCAGAGCUGUAAACAGAGCAUCUGGCUGGCCUUUGAGAGACCUCGGCCUAGGCUGUCCUUGUCCCCACACCCCGGAUUUCUCGGACCAUUUUGUUUAUAGGCUCCAGCUCCCCCCAUCCCUGCUCUGAGCCCCCAUCACACAUUUUCUGUACACCGCUUCUGACAAAUAAAAAUGGCAAGCAAUAGGAUAUAUUGG
rnacentral:lncRNA from 1 species